GCGCAAGCAGUCGACGCUCGACUUGCUCGCGGCCCUGUAGCACGUCCACUUGUCCCAAGGACAGCCGAUCUCGUAAAGGUAGCGCAGGCAGUCGAUGUGCCCGCCGAGGGCGGCGUUCUGUGUCGCACUCGCGCCCCACUCGUGUUUGUACUCGUGCAUGAGCCGCAACACGUCCAGCCGUCCAUGCUCGGCCGCGAUUCCGGCCAACGUGUCCUCGCACGUGUAGCCGUGUUGGAAAAGAACACGCAGGCAUUCGAUGUGGCCCGAGUGGACGGCCUGCUCGCAUGCAUCAGUGUCGACACGCUGGCCAUCGUCGAGAAGAAGGCGCAAACACGCCGCGUGCGCCUGGCCGCCGACGUCCUUGUCGCACACCCAUGCGCUCCUCAGAUGGUUGCACGAGGGGUGGCAGUCGCACCCGUUGACGUUGCCAAAACGCGCGCCCCUCUUGAGGAGCCACGACGUGCAGGCUAUGUCGCCACGGUCGAGGGCUUCCCCCAGCAGAUCGUCGUAAUGAUCCGUGCCCUUUGCCACACCAUCGAGCGCAUCCAAGGUGGAAACAGGGAUCGGAUACAUCCCGGCAUAUAACCACAGCUGCUCGUCCAACGAGCCAUUCGGCGGCCGCAUGGAAAAGAGACAGUCGAUGUGACCAAGGCAGAGCGCGCGCCGACAUGCCGCCGGCCUCUUUUUGAUGUCGCGCGCCGACCAUCCAUCCGCACUCGGCGGGUGAGACUCUGGCCGGGUGCACACAGGUCGGCCCAUGGCGUCGGGGUCGCCGCCGAUAGCGUGCCACCUCUUGCAGACCGCCAUCGCUCCACAUGCGCGGUCGGGGCAGGGCAACAGGGCAAGAAUGAGCGCGAGAAUUUCGUCGGGCAGAUCUUCCAUGUCUCAGCACUCGCCCACAAACAAACAAGAAAAAAACGAGUGCCGGCCAGAGGCGCCUCUUGCGCGUGUGGCUUUUUCUUUCUGGAUCCUUUUUUUUUGCUGCGCGAUACUUUGGUUCGGGCGCCGUUGGGCAAUGGCACAG
rnacentral:lncRNA from 1 species